UUUGUUUUGGGGGCAGUGCUUACCUGAGAUAAGGGCUUAAAAACAGCAAUGUAACAUUGUAUUGCUUAGUUGUGUGAAGCAGAAGAUAGGCUCAACGAGGACAGAGGUGAGGUUUGGAGGACAUGAUGCAGGGUCUCUUGACUCUGUGGCUGUGUGCUGCUCUGCCAGGACUCCUAUGCGCAUCGCCUCUGCUAGUAGAAGGGGACAAUGAUGCCUCCAAGAUCUGCAAGCCUGCACCGCACUGGGAGAUCAAGGGCCAUGGGGCCCCCAUGAAGGAGCUGCUGGGAAAUGUAGUUGUUCUGGCUCUGCUGAAAGCAAGCUGACACUUCUGCCGCACACAGGCCUCCAAACUAGGAAGCCUGCGUGACAAGCUGCUCCGCAGCAACCUGACAGACGUGUCGUUCCUCAUCGUGAACGAGAGGGAGGCCCAGUCCAGAGCCAUGUACUGGGAGCUGAAGAGGAGGGCCCCCCCGGGCAUCCCUGUCUACCAACAGGCCCCGCUACAGGACGACGUCUGGGAGGCCUUGGAUGGAGACAAGGACGACUUCCUGGUAUAUGACAGAUGUGGGAGACUGACGUUCCACAUAGUCCUACCCUACAGCUUCCUCCACUACCCCUACAUAGAGGCAGCGGUCAGAGCCACCUACCACAAGGACAUCUGUGGCAACUGCACCGUGGACUCCAACACAACCUCCUCAGCUGGGUGGAACAGCACUCAGAGAAACGAGACACUGAGCAGUUCAGAGAUGCGUGUUAACGAGACAGACACUACAGUGAGGUCUAUUGAUGUCGAUACCGUGAGCCACCCAGUUCCAAGUGAUGGACCCCAGAUGUCGUCUGAGGGGGUGGUAACAUGUCACACAUACAUCAAACAGGAUCAUCAGUACCCCCACCACCACCAGCAGCAGCAGCAUCAGCACCACCACAAUCAUGGGCCAGAUGCAGAUAAAAAAGACUCCGAUUAACAUUGUCUGCAUCGUUUCUUAGACGAGUAAUUGUUAAUUCGCAUGGUGGUGGUGGUAGCUUGUGUUAGUGACUUGACAGUCCGAUAAAUAGUUUUGUAUGAAUUAAAUUUGGUUUUGUCUGCGCCUGUCAAUUGUGUCUGAUAAGGCAAACCUGUACAGUAAACUGGAAUUAUUUAGGCCCUUGAAAUACAGUAUGUCUUCCCUACAUGUAGUCUGGUGACAGGUCCUGCUCUCCUCUGCAGUUUAUGAAGUCUGCAGGUCAAACCCUACGGAGGUGUCUGUAGAUAGAUGCUGUGCUAAGGAAAGUUGGAUUGACAAUCACCGAACCCAUGCAGGGCAGUGUGCUGGACUUCAGGGUAUACUUGUCAACGUCUUGACUAUAUUUCCUAUUCAUUUUGCAACUUUCAUUUCAUGUAUGUUUUCAUGGAAAACAAGGACAUUUCUAAGGGACCCCAAACUUUUGAACGGUAGUGUAUAUAUAUAUACAUGAUAUAUACGUUCCGGACUCCGACAUAAGAUUUAUGUUCCAGGUUUCUGGUUGUUCACAAUUAAAAGUAUGAUUAUGUUGUUGUA